AACAACUGAAUAAAGAAUCCCAAGACAGCGGGUGUCCCCUCUGACAUCGGGGGACUUAAUUUGGCGCCUGCCGAGGAUGAAAAAAUGCCGGAAUAAACCCGGUUUUGAAGUCCUUGUGCUAUGGCGCAGGGACUUUUUCUUUGCCUGA
rfam:Chloroflexi bacterium RBG_13_57_8 RBG_13_scaffold_8259, whole genome shotgun sequence.